CAGCAGGGCGCCGGCGAUCUCUGUCCGCGGCCCAGUUUCUGCAUCUGUGUCCGCCUGCUGGUCGUUGCUCAGAGCCGCGUCCACUGAAACAAAGCGCCCUGAAAUGAAAAGCCUGAGCCGUGCUGGAUUACUGCGGGAGGAGAAUAACUGGGCAGACACUGAGCACGCCAUUGGCUACACCGACCUUUUCACAAGCCAGAAAGAGAAAGACAGAAAGUGGUUGCCGCUUCCCACACUGAAGACUGGCAGCGGGGCGAGGAUCAUGCUGGGAAAAAAGGUUCCUGCUGCGUGUACAACACGGUGCAUCUGUGUCCAGAUAUCUGCAGCUGGACCUCUCUUCAUAUUCUGGAUACAUACGGAUACGGCUUGGGAGAAUGAACUUGGCGAUGGUUGCAUAGUGUCAAGAACAGUGCAAUAUACACAUGAUUUAAGCCACACUCAUCUCUGGGCUUUGAUGACAUAAAUAUUGACUGUCAUGACGUAGAUAUUGGCAUGCAGAGAGCACAAUCCGUAUCAGCUGCAGUACCAACCCCGCGAGAAAGCCUACAUGUGUUACUUCAUUGACUCCAGAUGUUUGGAGGUGCUGGAAUCAAUGCAGACCAGAUGGGCUUCUUUUCACCAGCAUGCGUUGUUCGUUUGGCCAAAACCAGCACCAAAAAACAAUGGCAACACCACAGCUACGCCACUAAAAGAGCAACAAUGAAGCAAAAAAAAAAGAGAAGCCGGAAGACUGAAGCUGCUGCGUGGCGCGUCUCCCAGUACCAUCUG